rnacentral:rRNA from 1 species
GGCUUUGUUUGCGCAGGAUAGGUGGGAGGCGUUGAAAAUUUUCUUGCGGGAAGAUUGGAGCCGUUGGUGAGAUACCACUCUAACAAUGCUAGGAUUCUAACCCUAUACCGUUAUCCGGUUAGGGGACAGUUUCAGGUGGUCAGUUUGACUGGGGCGGUCGCCUCCCAAAAGGUAACGGAGGCGUGCAAAGGUUUCCUCAGGCUGGUCGGAAAUCAGUCGUAGAGUGUAAAGGCAUAAGGAAGCUUGAUUGUGAGACCUACAAGUCGAACAUAGACGAAAGUCGGCCUUAGUGAUCCGACGGUUCCGAGUGGAAGGGUCGUCGCUCAACGGAUAAAAGUUACUCUAGGGAUAACAGGCUGA